UUGACAGCCUUGUGACUCACGCCCAGUGAAGAUGGGCUGCCUCACAACAUCUUGUCCCCAGAUCCCACCACCUCCUGGAAAUCAAUCUCCAAAUGAUCCAGGCCUUGCUGUAGGCGCUGAGCAAUGCAGAAUGGCCCCCUCAUCAUAGCCCCAUGGGACACAGCCUGGUGUGGUGUGAGGAGCAUGAGGCAUGCAGUCAGCAUGGAUUUCAACCUGGACCCACAGGAGCUGUGAGGCCUCAGGCGAGUGACGUCAAUAGGCCUUUGAGUCUUGGUUUCCUCAUCUGUGAAAUGGCCAUACCUUCCCAUCAGUAGGUGCCUCGUAAAUGACCCAAGAUGGCUGUUCAUAUCCACACUCCAGAAACUGAAGAAGGAAGAAACAGAGACCAGCUUUUCUCUCCAAGGACACUGCUAUCAUCUGAACACUUUCCCCUGAAACUCAUAUGUUGAAACUUAAUCACCAAGGUGACAGUAUUAGUAGGUGGUGCUUUUAGGAGGUGAUUAAGUCAUGAGGGCGGAGCCUUCAUGAAUGAGAUUAGUACCCUUAUCAAAAAGGCGCAAGGGAGCUGUUUUCCCUUUCACCACAUGACGACGCAGCAAGAAGGCGCCAUCUUGGAAGCAGAAAGCAGGCCCUCACCAGAUACUGAAUCUGCUGGUACCUUCAUUUUGGACUUCCCAGUCUCCAGAACUGUGAGUAAUUACAGCAGAGGACUGGAAACAAGAAAUCAUGGCCGGGCACUGUGGCUCAUGCCUGUAAUCCCAGCACUUUCGAAGGCAGCAGCGGGCGAAUCGCUUGAGGUCAGGAGUUCGAGACCAGCCUGGCCAAAUGGAAAAACCUCGUCUCUAUUGAAAAUACAAAAAUGA
rnacentral:lncRNA from 1 species